rnacentral:rRNA from 1 species
UACAGAGGGUGCAAGCGUUGUUCGGAAUUACUGGGCGUAAAGGGCGUGUAGGCGGUACCAUAAGUCAGAUGUGAAAGCCCCAGGCUUAACCUGGGAGGUGCAUUUGAUACUGUGGAACUAGAGAUCGAGAGAGGAAAGUGGAAUUACGAGUGUAGAGGUGAAAUUCGUAGAUAUUCGUAAGAACACCAGUGGCGAAGGCGACUUUCUGGCUCGAUACUGACGCUAAGGCGCGGAAGCGUGGGGAGCAAACAGG